UACGUAGGGUGCGAGCGUUGUCCGGAAUUAUUGGGCGUAAAGGGCUCGUAGGCGGUCCAUCGCGUCGGGAGUGAAAAGCUGGGGCUUAACCCCAGUCCUGCUUUCGAUACGGGUGGACUAGAGGUAGGCAGGGGAGAAUGGAAUUCCUGGUGUAGCGGUGAAAUGCGCAGAUAUCAGGAGGAACACCAAUGGCGAAGGCAGCUCGCUGGGACGUGACUGACGCUGAGACGCGAAAGCGUGGGGAGCAAACAGG
rnacentral:rRNA from 1 species